UUAUAUUCUCCGCCGGGGGGGAUGAGAAUCCCCGACCGGGGUUCGACAACUGGCAACGCCAGUUGGACAGACCGCGAGCCUGCGAGCGGGCUGCCCCGCAGGGGCGAGCGAAGCGAGUCAAUCCCCCCUCACCGCCA
rnacentral:sRNA from 1 species